rnacentral:rRNA from 1 species
UACGAAGGGUGCAAGCGUUACUCGGAAUUACUGGGCGUAAAGCGUGCGUAGGUGGUUUGUUAAGUCUGAUGUGAAAGCCCUGGGCUCAACCUGGGAAUUGCAUUGGAUACUGGCAGGCUAGAGUGCGGUAGAGGGUAGUGGAAUUCCCGGUGUAGCAGUGAAAUGCGUAGAGAUCGGGAGGAACAUCCGUGGCGAAGGCGGCUACCUGGGCCAGCACUGACGCUGAGGCACGAAAGCGUGGGGAGCAAACAGG